rnacentral:rRNA from 1 species
UACGUAGGGACCAAGCGUUGUUCGGAAUUACUGGGCGUAAAGCGCGCGCAGGCGGCUUCUUAAGUCCAUCGGUGAAAUGCCGGGGCUCAACCCCGAGCCGGCCGAGGAUACUGGGAGGCUGGAGACGAGUAGAGGCAAGCGGAAUUCCUGGUGUAGCGGUGAAAUGCGCAGAUAUCAGGAGGAACACCGGUGGCGAAGGCGGGUCUCUGGGCCGAUACUGACGCUGAGGAGCGAAAGCGUGGGGAGCGAACAGG